CAAUAAGUGUUGUUUGUGGGUUAGUGGUGUAUGUCUGCGUUAGUCAUAUAAUUUCCAGGAGAAUCCCAUACUUGCCAGGGGCCACAGUCUAUAACAAUAGACCAAAACAUGACUCGGCGAAACCGAAACAAAGUUUUAAGUGCAACUUCCUUAUUAGUGGGCCUAUAUAAGACAUAAAAGCUUUACAUUAUUAAAGACAGCUAGCUGUAAUUCUGGGUGAUAAAGAAAUGGCACAACAGUCAACCGGUGGUACCGCCCAGGCGACUUUACAGCAUGGUCGAAUGAGUGCUGCACAUUCCGCAAUAUGGACAAACUAUUAUAUGCAACUGGUGGAUGAUUUCAAAGCUGACCUCCCCAUGAUACUGGGUCAGUUUAUUACUUUUCGUAUCAUUAGCGAUGACGAUAAAGAUCAAGUAGAAAGAAAACAGAAGGCCGAUGGAAAUCCACAUGCAGCUAUAAAUCUUGUAGACAUAUUGUUCCAUAGAGGCCGCGAUGUCUUACCCAGAAUAAUAGCUGCAAUGAGGAGCGCUGGACACAACGACAUGGCCGAAAAGCUCUACACUGCUUUGCCUUUUGAUAACAGAUAAACAUUAGAUAAAUUUUAAUAUAAUAGAAAAGCUGAAAAUAAACAAUUUGAUUUUU